CUUGGUCAUUUAGAGGAAGUAAAAGUCGUAACAAGGUUUCCGUAGGUGAACCUGCGGAAGGAUCAUUACAAGUGAGGCUACCGAACGUUGGAAACAGCGGUUAGGAGCUUACACCCACCCGUGUUUACAUACUAUUGUUGCUUUGGCGGGCCGUGGCCUCCACUGCGGGCUCUGCUCGUGUGUGCCCGCCAGAGAACCAAACUCUGAGUGUUAGUGAUGUCUGGGUACUAUCUAAUAGUUAAAACUUUCAACAACGGAUCUCUUGGUUCUGGCAUCGAUGAAGAACGCAGCGAAAUGCGAUAAGUAAUGUGAAUUGCAGAAUUCAGUGAAUCAUCGAAUCUUUGAACGCACAUUGCGCCCUGUGGUAUUCCGCAGGGCAUGCCUGUUCGAGCGUCAUUUAACCACUCACGCCUAGCGUGGUAUUGGGGCACGCGGUCUCCGCGGCCCUCAAAAUGAGUGGCGGCGCCGGUGGGCUCUAAGCGUAGUACAUACUCCCGCUAUAGAGUUCCCCCGGUGGCUCGCCAGAACCCCCAAUUUUUACAGGUUGACCUCGGAUCAGGUAGGGAUACCCGCUGAACUUAAGCAUAUCAAUAAGCGGAGGA
rnacentral:sRNA from 1 species